GACGAACGCUGGCGGUAUGCUUCAUACAUGCAAGUCGAACGAUAAGGCCCUUCGGGGUACAUAAGUGGCGGACGGGUGAGUAACACGUAGAAAAUCUGCCUUAAGGAAGGGGACAACAGUUGGAAACGACCGCUAAAACCCUAUAUGAGCUAGUCUGAAAUGUCUAUCUUGAAAGUUCUGGCGCCUUAAGAUGAGUCUGCGUCUGAUUAGCUUGUUGGUGGGGUAAAGGCCUACCAAGGCGACGAUCAGUAGCUGGGUUGAGAGGAUGACCAGCCACAACGGGACUGAGACACGGCCCAGACUCCUACGGGAGGCAGCAGUGGGGAAUAUUGGACAAUGGGCGCAAGCCUGAUCCAGCAAUGCCGCGUGAGUGAUGAAGGCCUUCGGGUCGUAAAGCUCUUUUACCAGGGAUGAUAAUGACAGUACCUGGAGAAUAAGCUCCGGCUAACUCCGUGCCAGCAGCCGCAGUAAAAC
rnacentral:rRNA from 1 species